UUAAAUUCAGGGGGUCUUCCCACUUCAUCUGAGGUCUAAUUCAUAGAUGCGCAGAGACGUUCCCUCAAAGCCGCGAAGCUUCGAGUUCACAACUCUGUUCAUUUGUUUCUUUUGGCUACAUAACAUAGGGUUCGUGGAUUGGAUUCACAGUUAAGUGAAAGCAACUUGCCACGAACACACACAGUCGUGCGGCUGAGAUU
rnacentral:misc_RNA from 1 species